UUGUAUUUAUUUUUUCAUUUUACAUUAAUUAAUUAAAUUAUUAUUUUUAUAUUUUCUACGAUGAUGCUCAGUAAAUAGCUACGAAACACAAUUACGUGUUGUGUCGAAUUUACAUAGUUUUACAUAUAAAAAUUUUCACUUGCAAUUUAUACGACCUUAUAAGGAAGCAAGGAAAAGAUGUAGUACCACAAUGAUGUUUUACUUAUGCUAUGGCGGGUGCGAGUUAGAAGGAUGCGAGGCCGCAUUUGCAGACGAGCAACUUUAAAUAGAACCUAACUUAACGAAUAUGAGAUCCGUGCGGGAUCCGCGCGACAACUGUAAUUUUGCGACUAUAUACAAAAUCUCCCAUUUUCAUCGUGCCUCUGCUCGAAGGGGUAAUGAGCCAUCGAACAAACUGGUUUCUCAUUGGAAGUAAAUAUGCCUGAUAUGUCAACGUUUCUCAGGCAAGAUAUCAGUUGCCAUAUGUAGUCAAGCGUUCUAAAAAAUAGCUGUAUCAUGCAUUUUGGUAAAUUUUGGCCACUUUUCGGCACAAUUCCAUUAAUUGGUUUCUAUAACGUUCCCUAAUUAUGGUUUGUUUUGACUGAAACGCAUUUAUAAUCCAUUACACCCAACUGAUGGCUGUAACGAGGAACAUAAAGGUAUAAAGAACUAUCUUCGAUGUUAGAAACUGACUUAGUUUCCAUCGUGGUUAUAUUUGGGUUUCAUAUUUUGCAACAUCGCACGACACAGCAGCAUUUGUCAACAGCAAAAGCAAAGUUACACGUACCUAACAAAACCUUUUUUACGCUUAUGUGGCACAACCCAUCUAAAAUAUUGUCUUGCAUACACUUCAACUUAUACUGAUACGUAAAAUUGAAGAAGGAGAAGCCAAAGCAAAAGUGAAGCAAUCUCCUAAUAGAACUUAAUAUCUAGACCUGAUGCAUACGCCAUUUCAGACAUAACAUACCAAUUUUUAGAGUUGUAGGAGUCUUACGAUGAAACAGAUGAACAGAGAGAUAUUCACUGCAUGGAGAGACUGAUGCUCGCUUCUGAAUAUUGCAAACUGCUGUCAAUUUUGAACGAUCUGAUUAAGCUAAACAUAUCGGCGAUUUGAAGUAACUCAGCGUCGAUUUUGGGCGACGCUAAAGAUUAAUUUAACGAAAUUCGUCAAAAUAAAACAUCACCAGAUUGACACGAAGAGGGUCCGUCGCGUUCGGCAAAACAUUGUUAGCUAUGUUGCAAAAUAUAUUAGACCUUACGAUUGCACGGAAAAAGGGUUUAAGCGAACUCCUUAGUUCCCUAAACACACACAUCAACUUAUAAACAUUUUUCUAUAAUACUGUGUUAUUAAAAUGAAGGAUGGCUCCGAUCUCAUACAUUUAUAUGUUCGCUGUUCUUCUAUAGAAUUGUGGAAUCUCGGGAAAACUUUUAUUAUUUAUUCAUAUAACGAAAACCAGACUUUUCUGAUGAAGCGAUCAAAAAACAUAGACGUACACCUACCUGAAAGUGCAGCCUCGCUCAAUAAGUGCAUGGAUUCAAGA